CAUGACCUGAGCUGAAGUCAGUCGCUCAACCGGCUGAGCCACCCAGGCGCGCCCCCGCUCAGUUAAUAUUACAUCUAUUUUAUGUAUCUCAGUAGAUUUUUCAGUUUGCUCUUUAAUAUUUUGAGCAAUUUUGGUGACAUUUUUCCCUACAUACUUCAUUCGUGUUAUAAGUGAAAUUGGAAUUUUAACUUCCGUUUUCUAAUUGUUUGAUGCUGGUGUGUGUGUGCAUUCGUGUGUGUGUGUGUGUGUGUGUGCAUAUGCAUUUGUCUUAUAUCCAGCAACCUUGCUGAACUCCCAUAUUAGUUUUAAGAGUCUAUCCGUGGUUUCUGGGCUUUCCAGUGGACACAACCAAACCAGCCCAAGAGUUUGUUUGAGCCCCAAAUAUUCCUCCCCUUCCUACCCAGGUUCUGAAGCAACUGAAAACUAAGUCAAAAUCCAAGCAGCCAUAGGUCAUAAUAUCAGCUCUAUUUGAGAAAAUGCUACUAUUAGAGAUAUAUUAUAUAUGCGGACAAGUGGGCUUCCCAGUUUUAACCCCCAAGUCAGCACAUUUGCCUACCUGAUGACCAGCAGAACACAGAGAACUCGGGAAAGGCCCAGGGACCCACACAAAGGGGGAAGGAUGAGAGCCCGGCCGUGCUGAGGUUGGGGGUCCCGGCAAACCAGCGACGCAGAGCCCUUGUACAAUUCCACCGUCUUCCUCCAACCUGUCAGGAUGGUUACGUGCUAUUUAAUGUCAUCCUAAGUCUAGGAAAUUCUGGGUUGCAAGUUCCUAGAACGAAGUUUACCAUUUGUGUUGUACGACUCCAGUUUCAAGGUAAAUAUGAGAGUAUGUAACUUGUACAGGCAAAUCCCUGAAGUUACACAACGUGGGUCUCGCUCUUACAUGCUUACGUAUUUCGUUCCUACAGCAGUGAAGUUCUACAGGACCGACCUCAAGGCUCUCGUUCCACACCCCUCCCAGCACCCCAACAAGGACAGAAGGAAGGAGAGCUGCGGACCCCCGUCUUUCCCCCUCCAUGUCCUGGUUCUCAGGGUUAUUGGAACAGCCAAUGCAGGGGACUCACAAGAACUCGCCAGCUCGCAGAAAAGAAGGGUGCCUCUCGGGGAAGCCUCCCCAUGUACUGGGCUAGAGACGGAGCACAUCACCCUGAACCCCACCAUUGCAGGCGCCCAGACCCUGUGCUCCGGGGGCCUUGUGAUGGCUGCAUGUGAAGGGGGAGGCCAGCGGCAGAACAGACACACGAUGAGCCUCCUCUGUUCACACUCCAUCCAGCGGACAGAGCCCAAGGCCAUGGACGAGACUGUUAAGCAUCACAAGACAACAGCAGAGAGCACUGGGCCCGCUGGAUAGGACACGUGCCCCUGAGGGGGGGUCCUGGCUCCAGUGUCAUCAGUCACCUCAUCACAGCCUCCCCCCAGGGGGGCCAGGCCUGGGGCCACAAAGGGAUAUGAAGAAAGGAGUGUUAGCAACCCUGUGCCCCCCGGGAGCCCCGGCACCAGGUAAACGGCAACCAGAAGGCAGGAGGAAAGACGUCAGAAAGCACUCCGUUCUGUUGUAAAGAAAGUUCCUCUAGUGUCUCGCAAUUUUUGUGUGACUCUUGCUGGAAAGGCUAUAUUAGGUUAAGAAAAUGUUCUUUUCUUCCCUGCAUACACACACAUACUGUUGCAAAAUGGUGUGAAGCGUUAGUAUUUUGGGAGAUAGUUGUUUUUCUCUCAUUUAAUCUGUUAAUACAGCCAAUCACACACAAAAAAUUGUUCAUUGUGAAACCAAUCGCACAUUCAUGGAAUGAACAAUGUUGGUGGUGAGGUUUGUUUGGGCUCACACUUUAAAUCACUUUGUUGUGGAAACUUUUAGCCGUAAGAUUUCUGGAACGCCCAUCACACAGUUUCAACUUGUAUGAAUUCAUGACGGUCCUUUCCCUCUACCCCCGA